CACAUUUCCUAGGAUGCCCUGCGGUGCGUCCAGUUGCGCAGCCCUCUUAGGCGGAGGAAUGAUGUAGGGAAGCUUGAUAAAAACAAGAGUUAAAGGAAUAGGUGUCGGACGAGAGGGUCUGAAGUUCGCGACGGCUAGAAAGGGAGGGGAGUGGAAAAGCCGUCAGUACAGAAGGCCCAAUAGUCAAUAUACAGGACCCUGUGUGCCUGGCCUUUGGAAGCUUUGAUUGCCUAAUUUGUGUGCUUCAGCCACCCUGGCCUGCUUGUGAGUCUUCAAACACUCCAAGUACAUUCCUGCCUCAGAACCUUUGCACCCAGUCUUCUGCCUGAAAAACUCUUCCCAGAGAAUUCAUUUGCAUAAGACAUGUUUUAAUAGGUGAGAGAAGAGCAAAAGUCCAAGCCUGGGGAUCGUUUACAUAAGCCGUUUCGUAUUCUAAGAUGUACAGAAUCCUUCAGAACAAAGCUCAUCAAUAAAUUCAAUAUGUAAAACAGAUAAGUGUAGUCCAAGUGUGGAGAAUUAACCAUCCCAACCAGGGGAAAAUUCAUCUUCUCAUGAAACUUGAAAUACUACCUCUGUAAUAUAUUCAUUAAAAACUUUACCCAUUUUCAAUUUGUUUCCUAUUUCUGAGCUGUUCUCAUACUUUAGUUAAGAAACCUAUGAGCUUUAUAUAAAAAGAAGAAAUUGAAAUGGCUAUUAUGUAAAAUAAAUAAUAACAUGGUCUCACCCCCCGUUAGACUAUAAAAUUAGCACAGAUUAUUAAAGUAAUGUCCAAUCUUGGCAAGGGUUGGAUAUAUCUCUUUAAUAGAAUACAGGGAACAUUUAACUCAGUGGAACUAUUAUAUUGCUAUAUAAGUUGAUAAUGUGCAUCAAAAGUUUCGAAUGUUCAUGUCCUUUGCUCCAGGAGAUCAUUUGUAGGAUUUAACUCUAAAGAAAUAAAUAGAAAUAUAUGGGGAAAUUUUACUGUGGCUUGUAUUAUUGAUAACAUUGAAAAUGAUCCUAGAGUACUCUUCAGCCAUUAAAAUGAAAUUGUACAAAGGAAAAUAUUGAGUACUUGAAAUUUAUCAUUGAUCCAAACACCUUAAUUAUACUGUCUUAAUUAACCCUAACAAUGCCCCUAAGUGACAGGUAUUAUUCCCAUUUAUAGGCAAGAAGACAAUCAGAGAAGUGAGGCACAUUUGAACAGCUAGUAAAGAAGUUCUGGAAUUCAACACAUGUCUUUUUUUUUUUUUUUUAAAGUAUGUAUUUAUCGAAAGGCAGAGUUACAGAAAGGCAGAGGCAGGGAGAGAGAGAUCUGCUAGUUUACUCCCCAAAUGGCUGCAACAGCCGAAGCUGGGUUGAUCUGAAGCCAGGAGUCAGGAGCUUCUUCUGGAUCUCCCACAUGGGUAACAGGGGCCCAAGGACUUGGACCAUCUUCUGCUACUUUCCCAGGCACAGUAGCAGGAAACUAGAUCAGAGGUGGAGCAGCCAGGACUCAAACCCGCACCCAUAUGGGAUGCCAGCA